AUGCGUUAGGGAUUGAAACGACAUCCUUUUUUGCUUUUCGAAAAAAAGAUAUAGUGUAAAGCCCGACCUUUA
rnacentral:sRNA from 1 species